rnacentral:misc_RNA from 1 species
GAUGAAGAACGUAGUGAAAUGCGAUAAUUAAUGUGAAUUGCAGAAUUCAGUGAAUCAUCGAAUCUUUGAACGCACAUUGCGCCCGCUGGUAUUCCGGCGGGCAUGCCUGUUCGAGCGUCAUUUCAACCCUCAAGCUCUCCGGAGUUUGGUGUUGGGGCGCCUGGGGCUUUUCGACCUCAGGGCCCUCAAGUCCAUCGGCGGGACCGCCAGGACACUGAGCGCAGUAGUAUUAUUUCGCUCGGUAGGAUCUUCCACGGCGGGUCGAUCUGGCCGCUAAACCCCCCAAUUCUCACCAAAGGUUGACCUCGGAUCAGGUAGGAAUACCCGCUGAACUUAAGCAUAUCAAUAAGCGGAGGA